rnacentral:rRNA from 5 species
UUAAGCGACUAAGCGUACACGGUGGAUGCCCUGGCAGUCAGAGGCGAUGAAGGACGUGCUAAUCUGCGAUAAGCGUCGGUAAGGUGAUAUGAACCGUUAUAACCGGCGAUUUCCGAAUGGGGAAACCCAGUGUGUUUCGACACACUAUCAUUAACUGAAUCCAUAGGUUAAUGAGGCGAACCGGGGGAACUGAAACAUCUAAGUACCCCGAGGAAAAGAAAUCAACCGAGAUUCCCCCAGUAGCGGCGAGCGAACGGGGAGCAGCCCAGAGCCUGAAUCAGUGUGUGUGUUAGUGGAAGCGUCUGGAAAGGCGCGCGAUACAGGGUGACAGCCCCGUACACAAAAAUGCACAUGCUGUGAGCUCGAUGAGUAGGGCGGGACACGUGGUAUCCUGUCUGAAUAUGGGGGGACCAUCCUCCAAGGCUAAAUACUCCUGACUGACCGAUAGUGAACCAGUACCGUGAGGGAAAGGCGAAAAGAACCCCGGCGAGGGGAGUGAAAAAGAACCUGAAACCGUGUACGUACAAGCAGUGGGAGCCUCUUUUAUGGGGUGACUGCGUACCUUUUGUAUAAUGGGUCAGCGACUUAUAUUCUGUAGCAAGGUUAACCGAAUAGGGGAGCCGAAGGGAAACCGAGUCUUAACUGGGCGUUAAGUUGCAGGGUAUAGACCCGAAACCCGGUGAUCUAGCCAUGGGCAGGUUGAAGGUUGGGUAACACUAACUGGAGGACCGAACCGACUAAUGUUGAAAAAUUAGCGGAUGACUUGUGGCUGGGGGUGAAAGGCCAAUCAAACCGGGAGAUAGCUGGUUCUCCCCGAAAGCUAUUUAGGUAGCGCCUCGUGAAUUCAUCUCCGGGGGUAGAGCACUGUUUCGGCAAGGGGGUCAUCCCGACUUACCAACCCGAUGCAAACUGCGAAUACCGGAGAAUGUUAUCACGGGAGACACACGGCGGGUGCUAACGUCCGUCGUGAAGAGGGAAACAACCCAGACCGCCAGCUAAGGUCCCAAAGUCAUGGUUAAGUGGGAAACGAUGUGGGAAGGCCCAGACAGCCAGGAUGUUGGCUUAGAAGCAGCCAUCAUUUAAAGAAAGCGUAAUAGCUCACUGGUCGAGUCGGCCUGCGCGGAAGAUGUAACGGGGCUAAACCAUGCACCGAAGCUGCGGCAGCGACGCUUAUGCGUUGUUGGGUAGGGGAGCGUUCUGUAAGCCUGUGAAGGUGUGCUGUGAGGCAUGCUGGAGGUAUCAGAAGUGCGAAUGCUGACAUAAGUAACGAUAAAGCGGGUGAAAAGCCCGCUCGCCGGAAGACCAAGGGUUCCUGUCCAACGUUAAUCGGGGCAGGGUGAGUCGACCCCUAAGGCGAGGCCGAAAGGCGUAGUCGAUGGGAAACAGGUUAAUAUUCCUGUACUUGGUGUUACUGCGAAGGGGGGACGGAGAAGGCUAUGUUGGCCGGGCGACGGUUGUCCCGGUUUAAGCGUGUAGGCUGGUUUUCCAGGCAAAUCCGGAAAAUCAAGGCUGAGGCGUGAUGACGAGGCACUACGGUGCUGAAGCAACAAAUGCCCUGCUUCCAGGAAAAGCCUCUAAGCAUCAGGUAACAUCAAAUCGUACCCCAAACCGACACAGGUGGUCAGGUAGAGAAUACCAAGGCGCUUGAGAGAACUCGGGUGAAGGAACUAGGCAAAAUGGUGCCGUAACUUCGGGAGAAGGCACGCUGAUAUGUAGGUGAAGCGACUUGCUCGUGGAGCUGAAAUCAGUCGAAGAUACCAGCUGGCUGCAACUGUUUAUUAAAAACACAGCACUGUGCAAACACGAAAGUGGACGUAUACGGUGUGACGCCUGCCCGGUGCCGGAAGGUUAAUUGAUGGGGUCAGCGCAAGCGAAGCUCUUGAUCGAAGCCCCGGUAAACGGCGGCCGUAACUAUAACGGUCCUAAGGUAGCGAAAUUCCUUGUCGGGUAAGUUCCGACCUGCACGAAUGGCGUAAUGAUGGCCAGGCUGUCUCCACCCGAGACUCAGUGAAAUUGAACUCGCUGUGAAGAUGCAGUGUACCCGCGGCAAGACGGAAAGACCCCGUGAACCUUUACUAUAGCUUGACACUGAACAUUGAGCCUUGAUGUGUAGGAUAGGUGGGAGGCUUUGAAGUGUGGACGCCAGUCUGCAUGGAGCCGACCUUGAAAUACCACCCUUUAAUGUUUGAUGUUCUAACGUUGACCCGUAAUCCGGGUUGCGGACAGUGUCUGGUGGGUAGUUUGACUGGGGCGGUCUCCUCCUAAAGAGUAACGGAGGAGCACGAAGGUUGGCUAAUCCUGGUCGGACAUCAGGAGGUUAGUGCAAUGGCAUAAGCCAGCUUGACUGCGAGCGUGACGGCGCGAGCAGGUGCGAAAGCAGGUCAUAGUGAUCCGGUGGUUCUGAAUGGAAGGGCCAUCGCUCAACGGAUAAAAGGUACUCCGGGGAUAACAGGCUGAUACCGCCCAAGAGUUCAUAUCGACGGCGGUGUUUGGCACCUCGAUGUCGGCUCAUCACAUCCUGGGGCUGAAGUAGGUCCCAAGGGUAUGGCUGUUCGCCAUUUAAAGUGGUACGCGAGCUGGGUUUAGAACGUCGUGAGACAGUUCGGUCCCUAUCUGCCGUGGGCGCUGGAGAACUGAGGGGGGCUGCUCCUAGUACGAGAGGACCGGAGUGGACGCAUCACUGGUGUUCGGGUUGUCAUGCCAAUGGCACUGCCCGGUAGCUAAAUGCGGAAGAGAUAAGUGCUGAAAGCAUCUAAGCACGAAACUUGCCCCGAGAUGAGUUCUCCCUGACUCCUUGAGAGUCCUGAAGGAACGUUGAAGACGACGACGUUGAUAGGCCGGGUGUGUAAGCGCAGCGAUGCGUUGAGCUAACCGGUACUAAUGAACCGUGAGGCUUAACCUU